CAUGUCCUGCCUGUCUGGCCCAUUCUUGCAGCUUACUGUGCGUGAAGAAACACAAAGAAGAUUCAGGAUGCAGCGGAGUUAGAAAUAAAACUGCCUUUGUGACCCUCUCACAGUUUGAUGAGAUGGCACUUCUCAAUGACUACAGGUUCCUGGAGGAUACCGGGCGAUUUGCUGACGGUGCUAACAGAGACGGUCUCGUCCGGACCCCGAGAUCGACUUUUAAAGCUAAAAGAUUGGCAGCUAACGCCCGGAAGUUAAACAUCACGCUGAGGUUCCUCCCCGUCACCUUCACAAGGAGCAGAGAAAACUCCACCUUCUUCCUGGCAAAG